ACUUGUAUAUUUUUUUGGAUACGAGUCACUUGAUUAGAUUAAAGUAUAGUAUUCUCUAUGUAUUUUGUUGGGGCGACAGGAAUAGAACUUUUAUCUGUUUUAAUUAUAAGUUAAUAAUAAUUAGAUAUUGAGCCUUUAGUAUGGAUUAAAAGAAUAAGUU
rnacentral:rRNA from 1 species